ensembl:lincRNA
AGUGUCUCCUCUCUUUGGAAAGCAGUCACCUGCACAGAGACAGGCGAGACGGAACUGAGAGAGAAGAGAGAAGAAAAAUGAACUUAAGAGAGUAGUGCAAGAAAAACAGAUACCGUAUAAAAAGAGACACAAGGCAAAAGCUAAAGAGAGGAAAGUAAAGGACAUCGGAGAAAGAGGGGGAGACACCAGUCCCAGCCAGGUCUGUGAGACGUCUGCACCACACAGCACUGAGCCCAGACCGCCAUGGACAACAGCUGUGGAGGAGCCGCUUCUAAUGCAUCCCAGGGUGCGGUGAGGAAGACAAGCAGAUCAUCCCAGCAGCCCUCAGCCAUGGGAGGACGCCGACCCCCCAUAAAGGUACCAGCCUGCACAAAACCCCCCUCUUACUACCCACUGGCCUUAAAGGGGAAUUGGCAUGCUCUUUUUGUGUUAUGGGGCUCGAAGGCGUCGCGCCUUCUUCCCACCACAUUCUCGCACGGAAGCGCACUACUCGCACUAAUCACACUCCAGCCCCGAGCGCUUCUGCCAAACGACACCACUCCUGCCAAUCAGCCAACCACGACACUCCAUCAAUCAGCGCGCCUCCUCCCUUGCACAAUACUUAAACCCUCCAGAAGCCCCUGUUCUUUGCCUGGUAUUGGUUGGUUGUUUGUUUGUUCGUUCACCUACCUCGCUUCAGAUUCUGUUUUCCCUCUUGCUCUUUGUUACUAACCACGGACCUCACCUUCGACUACGUCUCCCGUCUUGCCCUUUCGGAUCUGGGGGCCGACUUAUUGACCUUCAUCUUUAGACUCAUGGAACCGCCUUUUCGACCACGGCUUCAGCCUUGCCGAAUUCUGGAGUGGAAACCUCCUCUCCUGCCUUUUUCUACGACCCUCGGAACUCGGCUUGGACUUCGCCUCUUGUCUAGCCCCCUAAGGUCCCGCAUAGGGUCCAUCUUCCCUUUCCUCAGCGGGUCAAUCCUGACAGGAGGAAUCGGAGUAGCUUGUAAACCCCCCCAAUUUACAUCACAAAAUAGAGGAAAUUACCAGGUUUGCGCAGCGCCAUGUUCUGCGAUUCAGAACGAGGUGAAGUGACACUGUAAACCAGCAGGAUUGUGAAUCUGUCUCUUCUAAUCCAAGAGGAAUAUUGCUCUCGAGUUCGAAACAGUUUUGCCAACAAAUACCACUCGCUUGUUAGCUCUGCAGGCAGGUCACGCUGGACCAUUUCUGCGGUGAAAAGUCCGCUGCACAACCUGUACUUAUUAACCCGGAAAUCGCAUCACAUUAGGCAUGACAGUGACUAGUGAGCAGGAAGGGCCGCAUCACGCAGCGAUUCAUGGGAUCUCCAAUGGUAGUUUGCGACAACAUGGAGAGCUGCAGUCCUUUCACGAAGUUCACAAUUUUGCGCUGAAUUCGGAAUUGGUCAAAUUUCUCCGACCCUGUUCCGCCGAAUUCAUUGUGUUACCGAGAUGUAAUUAGCCAGUGUAAGAAAUUAGCACUGCAGUUCCCCUUCAACGGCCGGGGCACGUGAGGGCAGACCUUGCUUUCUCAGUCCUGAGGUUCACCCUCUCCUGUGUGAGGUAUUCUGCUCUCCCUUGUGCUUCUUCGUGUCCGUGUGCCCCCCUCUGUUCUUCCUCCUCUCCCAUCCUCUUCCUUUUUCAGUUCGAUUUUCCUGUCCCGUGCCGAUCCUUUCCUCGGAUCGCUUCGUCCAAAGGUCGCUGUGUUCCGCAGAAUCCUGCUGUGCUGCUGUUUUUACAGGUGGAGGACAGGAAGUCCAGCCCUGCCCCCCAAAAUGUCCGACCUACAGAACGCCCCCCCAUCUAUGAGGUAUGACACAGGUCACGUCCCCCUUGCUUGAUCUGCAAAGACCCCUCUUUAUGACGUACUUGAGUGAGGA